CAGGGGAGAGUAAGGGAGUAAACAACUUUUUGGCGGGAAAAACGUGAGAGCAAGUCCAGACAAGCCCUGAACAAUACAAACCAAGGGGAUUAACAUAGAAAUAUAUGUGGGGGUACAUUAAACAUGGUAUGAAACUGGGCAAUAACAUGAAAGUCCGUGAAUUUUUAGCUCUUUCAGGCUCCAUAUAAGUCCCUCCAGGCUUUGAAUCUCUCCCAAUCACUUUGAUGUUCCUCCUCAAUAAACUGUGCAGGGUGUCCUGACUGUACAACAUAGACCCACCUUUGGGCCUGCCCAGCACCAAGGAAACCUACCAAAACCAUUGCAACAGUCUGCCUGUGGAAAACAGCCUGGUGCUUUCCAGGACAGCCUGAAGGGCAAGACUCCACUACCCCAGACCGAGAGGCACCCCAGACACUGUCAGCGUCAUUCCAGCUGUAGUCCUGGUCUGAAGAAGACCAAGGACUCACCAGCUCACCACAGGCAGUUGCCAACAGCCGAAGAUCAGCUGGAUCAGGCAAAACACGAGCAAAUGUCCGUGAAAUAUGAAAGUUAAAACGUCACGGGAGUGGGUUGUCUUCUUUCUUUCCUUCCUUCCUCUUUUCUUUUAUGGGUUGUCUUCUUUCUUUCCUUCCUUCCUCUUUUCUUUUAUCUCCACUCAACUGGUUAAAUCAAUUGUAGUAAGAAGACAUCUUCCAGCCCCCAAAACAUUACCCUUAUUGAGGGAUUUUGUUUCAUUCACUCUGUAAAACUACUUCAGGAUGUUAAAUGUGAAAUCCAGUCUCCCUGUCUCCGUUUUUAUAUGCUCAGGAUGUUUUUUCUUUUAAACUUAUACAUUAGUUGAGGCCACAGCAAUAUCUUUUGUGAAGGUGACCAGGGGAAUGAAAAUGCUGAUAGGGAAGUGCAUCUUUGUUUUAACAAAAUCAGAUGAAGGAAAUGGAAUAACAUUAUAAACCAUGUCAGGCAUUUUUGAUUCCACAGUGUGCAGCUGUGCCCUCUGAAAGUACUUCCUGAAUCCUGCAGAGUUACAGUGGGUGGUGAGGUAUCUCUCUGGGGAAAUGCAAGUUUCAUUAAGCCUCUUCUGGGUUUCUAAUCCUCAGUUGUAAAUUACUAAGGUACAGAAGCCAAAAUGCUGCAUGAGCCUGGGAACUUCCUUCUUUGCUAACCCCUUUUCAAGAUAGAUUUUUGAUUAUGUAGAGAUUUGGAACUUUUCCUCAAAAUAGGUGAUACCUGUUGCCUCUUUGCUGUAUGACACAUGUGCUUGUUCAGGUGCAGGUAACACCACACCACCCACAGCAGAGUGCAGGAUUGUGUUUCUACCUGUGUUUCAGACCAAGAUUUUCUGACUACUUCUGGCAGGCUGCAAGACUUCUAUGCAAUUAUAAGAUUAAAAACCUGCCAGUAUGCUCUCCUGUGCACCCAGACUCAAAGUGAUCCAUCAUAAAAGCUACACUUUUUUUUUUUCCUAUCUUUCAUAAAGCCCUUUGGAUUGCUUGACUCUUCUGGGUGCUGUAAAUUAUAUUAACUGGAGAGCGGAAAGGGAGGCUUUGUGAGAUGAGGGUCUAAUUCUCUUAUUGCAGGAUAUGGUGCUUUUUCUCUGUUUAUUCUUUUAUUUCAGGAUAUGGUGCUUUUUCUGCAUUAGGCCUCUUGAGUCUCUAUAGACCAGGAGUACGUGAUAAUUUAAGAUCAUGCAGGUGCUCAUUCAGGAAGCAGCUGACCUAAAAUCAGGACUGUUUUUGAAAAGACAAAUCUACCUGUAUGAGCUGUCACUUCUGCCUCAUCUCUCCUCGGAAGAGAACAAAAGUGAAGAAAGGUGUCAGAAAGCAAAGAAGACUCAGGGCCAGUUUCAAGCAACAUUCACUUCUCCGAGCACACAUAAUACUCAAAAGAUCCAAGAUCUUGAAAUGAACAAAGCUGCAUCCUUUUCCUUUUUUCAGUCAUGGUGUUCCAUACAGAGGGACUUCACUUCCAGAGGCCAUCAAGACAAGUGAAAUCAACAUAAAUGCACAGGAACACCUCGAGGUGCUGGAGAAGACAGAGCAGGGGAGCUGAACGGCCAAUGCAGAUGUGAUUUCCUCAAAAUGUUUUGUCUUAAAGCUUAUCUCAGAGUAUGAUGAAAACAAGUGGUGGGAAGAAAAAAAGCCUAACAGACACAGAAAAUACAGCCAUUAGGCCAAACAGUGGCAGUCAGAUAACCUUCUAAGGCCAGUUUCUGAGGUGCAUUAAAACUGCAACAGGAAAAAGGUAGGACUGGGUUUAUGUCUUUGUGUCCAAGGUGUAACAUUAUGAGCGGUUGGCCCCAAAUGUCUUCCAAGAAUGUGCUGAUUCCCACUGUGAAUCUGGAGAGCUUCCUUUGGUGAACUGCAAACUUUCUGAAGACAGACUGUGGCUCUCAUUUGUGUUUCAGUGGUGUGGUUGAAACAUCUGAGACACCCAAGGGCCCCUUGCAGCAGAGGAAACCUAAACCUGAAUGGGUCCAGUGAACUGUUUCCAUCAACCAAAAUAUGGCCAUUCCUCCACAAUUUUUAUGCAGGUAUAGGCAAGAGAAAGAGAAU